rnacentral:rRNA from 1 species
UACGAAGGGUGCAAGCGUUACUCGGAAUUACUGGGCGUAAAGCGUGCGUAGGUGGUGAGUUAAGUCGGGCGUGAAAGCCCCGGGCUCAACCUGGGAAUUGCGUUCGAUACUGGAUAGCUAGAGUUCGGCAGAGGGAAGCGGAAUUUCGGGUGUAGCGGUGAAAUGCGUAGAUAUCCGAAGGAACAUCAGUGGCGAAAGCGGCUUCCUGGACCAGAACUGACGAUCAGGCACGAAAGCGUGGGGAGCAAACAGG